rnacentral:lncRNA from 1 species
GAGCGGAGAACUUUCUAGAGAAGCGGUUAAACGGGUUGAGGCUCUUGGACUGAGGGACUCCAAGUGGCGAGCCUCCCAAGUCCGGGCCUGCCUCGUGGCCGGCCCUGCUCACCCAGGCCCACAGCGGAAUAGCUGGAGACAGGCAGUCAGAUGUGAAGUGGCAAAGAUCGGCCUCCCGUGAUUGUGCCACAGAUGCCCAUGGUUCCAGGCGUGGGCACCUGAGCAGUGUGGGAAAGAGAGGUCGAGGGAUUGAAAGUGUGGGCCCCGUAGGGACAGUUUCAGCCCAGGUGCACAGAUCGGACACAACUUUGCCCUCCCUGCAGCCUGGCAGGCCCACCGCAAAAAUGCCAUGAGCAGAUUUAUAAGAGCCAUAGACUUGUAAGUGGAGGUGAAUAGGAAGGAAGGUUUUCUCAACCUGCUCGCUGCUCCUAUGAGAUGCCUGUGGAGUUCUGAGUCUGUGUGGCUAAAACCAUGAAGUUCUGAUUACCGGAACAGUGCUGGCUUGAUGGAAGAUCUGUCUGGAGAGGUCCUGACUCUGCCCAGCAGUUUAGUACCCAGUUAUACAGCCUGCUGUUGCCCCCUGCCUCCAGUUCUCCCCUCCCACAGUUCCAAGUCCCACUCCUCCUCCCACUUGCCUCCAAGAGGGUGAUCUUUAAGAAACAAGUCAGGCAUAGUGGUGAGUGCCUUCAAUCCCUACACCAGGGAGGCAGAGGCAGGCAGGUCUCUGAGGCCAGUGUCCACAUACUGAGUUCCCAGCCUGUGAGGGUGGCAUAAUGAGAGCUCUUCUCAAAACCAAGCAAAACACAAAUGCUGGAGAGGAUGUGGAGUACUGAUGACAGAAGAGCCACCAGCUUCAAGCAGCAGCAGCAGCAGCAACAGCAGCAUCGAUCUACAAUCUGACCCAGCUGGACCACUCCUGGGUGUUUACCUGGACUCUAAGUCAAGACAGUACCGAUACUUGCAUAUAGGUGAUUAUUGUAGCACCUUUCACAAACAGUUAAGUUACAGAAACAACCUAGGUAUCCACCAUUAGAGGAUGGUUAAAGAAAAUGUGGCAGAUGUGCACAGUGGAAUAUUAUUCAGCCAAGAAGACUGUGGUGUUUUCUGGUAAAUGGAUGUAAAUGGGAAUAAAACAUAUUAAGUGCAUAAGAUCGGACUCAAAGACAAAUAGCUCAUGUUUUCUCUCAUUGGUGGAGCCUAGGUUUUAUCAAGCUACGUAAAAUAUGUGUGCAUAUAUGACACAGAAGAACAGCAGAACUAAGGGAACCAAUGAGAGAGGAGAGAAGAGGGCAGGUGAGAUCAUGAAUAUCCUGUACUUGCAGGAAAAUGUCCUGUAACCCAGUACUGUGUACAAUAAAUACAUGGCAACAAGAGCA